ACAACAUUCGGACCGUCGGUCUACCGAGCAAUAUCAUCCGCUCGGUGGAAGAUCUUCCCUAAACUAU
rnacentral:pre_miRNA from 1 species